GAACGAGAAAGUGGAGCAAUCCAUGAGUAAAGUGGCGACCGGGUGAGUAACACGUGACUAACCUACCUCCGAGUGGGGAAUAACUCCGGGAAACCGGGGCUAAUACCGCAUAACAUCGCAAGAUCAAAGCAGCAAUGCGCUGGGAGAGGGGGUCGCGGCUGAUUAGCUAGUUGGCGGGGUAACGGCCCACCAAGGCGAAGAUCGGUAUCCGGCCUGAGAGGGCGCACGGACACACUGGAACUGAAACACGGUCCAGACUCCUACGGGAGGCAGCAGUGGGGAAUUUUGCGCAAUGGGGGAAACCCUGACGCAGCAACGCCGCGUGGAGGAUGAAGCCCUUUGGGGCGUAAACUCCUUUCGACCAAGACGAUAAUGACGGUACUGGUGGAAGAAGCACCGGCUAACUCUGUG
rnacentral:rRNA from 1 species